rnacentral:lncRNA from 1 species
AUGUUAUAUUGCAUAUAAAAUCUAAAAAAUACUAAGGAUAAAAUCAGCAUGCAUGCAUAGAGCAGUAGAUCACAUCUACUUCUAAUCUGAGUUCAGAACUCGAUACCAUUAUAUGGAUCGACAAUCAUCGAUGCUGAGAGACAUGGUGGAGAGGAUCCUUGCUAGUUGCUUUCAGCCGCACAUGCAUUCGACCUCUAUAGAAAAUCUACUCGAAGCUCCGAUCUGAUCGAUCUUCUCGAGAGUGCUAGCUCGUGCAAAGACCUUCUUCUUAUCCGAUCUGGAUUAUUUCUUCAAAUCUCUAGAAUCUUUUCAAAGGUUAAAGAUGGACUUCUGAAAGAGAUGAAGAUGUAAAAGAAAGAUAAAGAAAAAAUAAUUUUUUCUAAUUUAUUCUCUCUUUCCAAACUUUUAGAAUCAAAAACUUGAAAUUCAGAUUUUUGUGCACACCCCAAGAGAGAGGAUCCUUCUCUCUAUUUUUCACAUCAUGAACUAUGCCCAAACUUUCUUCACAUG